rnacentral:rRNA from 1 species
AGCUCCAAUAGCGUAUAUUAAAGUUGUUGCGGUUAAAAAGCUCGUAGUUGGAUCUCGGUUCUCGUGAGUGGUACACCUUGCGGUGUUACUGCUGAUGAGGACGAUUUUGUUGGUUUGUUCAUGGUUCUCUUAAUCGAGUGCCAUUGGAUGGCCAGCACGUUUACUUUGAAAAAAUUGGAGUGCUCAAAGCAGGCGUUACAGCCUGAACAUUAGUGCAUGGAAUAAUGGAAUAGGAUCUCGAUUCUAUUUCGUUGGCUUUCGGAGUCGAGGUAAUGAUUAAUAGGGACAGACGGGGGCAUUCGUACUGCGACGUUAGAGGUGAAAUUCUUGGAUCGUCGCAAGACGAACUACUGCGAAAGCAUUUGCCAAGAAUGUUUUCA